GGAUAAUCUGCCCUAAGGUCAGGCAUAACACCGGGAAACUGGUGAUAAUUCCUGAUAUACCAUAGAUACUGGAAUGUUCUGUGGUCAAAAGCUCCGGCGCCUUAGGAUGAAUCUGCGGCCUAUCAGGUCGUAGUGGGUGUAACGUACCUACUAGCCGACGACGGGUACGGGUUGUGAGAGCAAGAGCCCGGAGAUGGAUUCUGAGACAUGAAUCCAGGCCCUACGGGGCGCAGCAGGCGCGAAAACUUUACAAUGCGGGAAACCGCGAUAAGGGGACACUGAGUGCCAGCAUACAAUGUUGGCUGUCCGCAUGUAUAAAUAGCAUGUGUUAGCAAGGGCCGGGCAAGACCGGUGCCAGCCGCCGCGGUAACACCGGCGGCCCGAGUGGUGGCCACUAUUAUUGGGUCUAAAGGGUCCGUAGCCGGUUUGAUCAGUCUUCCGGGAAAUCUGACAGCUCAACUGUUAGGCUUCCGGGGGAUACUGUCAGACUUGGGACCGGGAGAGGUAAGAGGUACUACAGGGGUAGGAGUGAAAUCUUGUAAUCCUUGUGGGACCACCAGUGGCGAAGGCGCCUUACCAGAACGGGUCCGACGGUGAGGGACGAAAGCUGGGGGCACGAACCGGAUUAGAUACCCGGGUAGUCCCAGCCGUAAACGAUGCUCGCUAGGUGUCUGGGAUGGUGCGACCGUUUCAGGUGCCGCAGGGAAGCCGUGAAGCGAGCCACCUGGGAAGUACGGCCGCAAGGCUGAAACUUAAAGGAAUUGGCGGGGGAGCACUACAACGGGUGGAGCCUGCGGUUU
rnacentral:rRNA from 1 species